rnacentral:rRNA from 1 species
UUUCGAAUCAUUCACAAUGGGCGAAAGCCUGAUGGUGCGACGCCGCGUGAGGGAUGAAGGUCUUCGGAUUGUAAACCUCUGUCACCGGGGAAGAAACGUUUUGAGUUAAUAGCUCAAAGCCUGACUUAACCCGGAGAGGAAGCAGUGGCUAACUCUGUGCCAGCAGCCGCGGUAAUACAGAGACUGCAAGCGUUAUUCGGAUUCACUGGGCGUAAAGGGUGCGCAGGCGGCCGUGUGUGUGAGGUGUGAAAGCCCGGGGCUUAACCCCGGAAUAGCACCUCAAACUACAUGGCUAGAGCAUUGGAGAGGGUAGCAGAAUUCACGGUGUAGCAGUGAAAUGCGUAGAUAUCGUGAGGAAUACCAGAGGCGAAGGCGGCUACCUGGACAAUUGCUGACGCUCAGGCACGAAAGCGUGGGGAGCAAAAGGG